AGUGAACGCUGGCGGUAGGCCUAACACAUGCAAGUCGAACGGCAGCACAGUAAGAGCUUGCUCUUACGGGUGGCGAGUGGCGGACGGGUGAGGAAUACAUCGGAAUCUACUUUUUCGUGGGGGAUAACGUAGGGAAACUUACGCUAAUACCGCAUACGACCUACGGGUGAAAGCAGGGGAUCUUCGGACCUUGCGCGAUUGAAUGACCCGAUGUCGGAUUAGCUAGUUGUCGGGGUAAAGGCCCACCAAGGCGACGAUCCGUAGCUGGUCUGAGAGGAUGAUCAGCCACACUGGAACGGAGACACGGUCCAGAAUCCUACAGGAGGCAGCAGUGGGGAAUAUUGGACAAUGGGCGCAAGCCUGAUCCAGCCAUACCGCGUGGGUGAAGAAGGCCUUCGGGUUGUAAAGCCCUUUUGUUGGGAAAGAAAAGCAGCAGGUUAAUACCCCGCUGUUCUGACGUUACCCAAAGAAUAAGCACCGGCUAACUUCGUG
rnacentral:rRNA from 1 species